rnacentral:tRNA from 1 species
CCACCUGUGGCCUAGUGGCCAAGGUUACAGUCCUGGGAACACGGGGUCGUAGGUUCAAGCCCAGCCAGGAACA